rnacentral:rRNA from 1 species
CCUACGGGGGGCAGCAGUGGGGAAUAUUGGACAAUGGGGGCAACCCUGAUCCAGCCAUGCCGCGUGUGUGAAGAAGGCCCUCGGGUUGUAAAGCACUUUCAGUGAGGAAGAACGCCUGGUGGUUAAUACCCAUCAGGAAAGACAUCACUCACAGAAGAAGCACCGGCUAACUCCGUGCCAGCAGCCGCGGUAAUACGGAGGGUGCGAGCGUUAAUCGGAAUUACUGGGCGGAAAGCGCGCGUAGGUGGCUUGAUAAGCCGGUUGUGAAAGCCCCGGGCUCAACCUGGGAACGGCAUCCGGAACUGUCAAGCUAGAGUGCAGGAGAGGAAGGUAGAAUUCCCGGUGUAGCGGUGAAAUGCGUAGAGAUCGGGAGGAAUACCAGUGGCGAAGGCGGCCUUCUGGACUGACACUGACACUGAGGUGCGAAAGCGUGGGUAGCAAACAGGAUUAGAUACCCGGGUAGUC